GGUUUUUGCUAAGCACAAAGCGGUGGAUCAAGGACGGAGCAAACUAUGCUAUUCCUCCCUUGGCAGUGCCGUUGAAGGUGGGCAGAACUGGAAAACGUAGCAAUUAGGGAUUUAUCGCAUUCGCUGAUUCCAUUUUUGCCUGUAAGUUCAAUUUCUGGUUUCUAAUCUUCUCUGCUUAAUCAAUGGUUUUGUUCAUCAUUUUUCUAUUUUAUCUUCAAUAUGUAGCUAUAGAAGAAGGAAAUUUUUAGUGAGAAGUAGUGAAUCUGUGAUAUUUCAUGGCUAGACCUCCAUCAUCUUAUUGUGAUUUUACUUCGCCCUUAUAGCACCGGCCAAACUCUAGUACCCAAAUCAAAAAACUUACUGUUGAAGAAAUUGAAUUUAUUAGUGAAGGAAUCAAGCCAAUUCGGAAUCACGAACUCCCUGAGAGCGUAAACCAACAUUUCAGUGAUAUAGCUAGAGGAGUGGGGAAGAUCACGAGAACAAACUCCAAUGGGAGCAAAUUCUUUUGUUGAAUUUUCCUUCUUUCAAUUUUACUAUCCCCAAUUCUUUCACUAGCUUCUGAAGCACCAAAACAAAUGCGUUUUUCUCACUAAAAUUCUUUCUUGGGCUGCGUUUGCAUUCCAAUUUUACACCUGUUCAAGUUUCCUGCAAUGUGCUUUUUGGUUCGAUUUUGGAGGCUAAAGCUUGCAAUGCAGCAAAAUAUUUCCUUCAAGUUUCGGGUUUUAGUCCCGAGCAGGGUUUUUAGAACGCCAUAUAUGUUGUCUUUGUGAUGGUUGAAUGGUUCAGGAAUCAGGAUUCACUUGAUGUGUUCUUGAAGCUUGGAAUUCAGCUUUGUUGGGUUGUCUAGUUUCGGGAGGACUGAUCUUGUUUGGAAAU
rnacentral:misc_RNA from 1 species